UAAAGUAAAGUUGUUCUGUGCAAAACAUCUUUUUAACCAAAUAUGUAGUUUCAAAAAAUUGAAUUUCUUCCGGUUUUUUUUGGAAAUUCUAAUUUGGUUUACGAUUAACCAGCACCAAAAUUUUCGAAUUCUCAAAAUGAAAACAAAUAUUUCCGUAUUGUUUAUCCUCAUCACGAUUUUUGGCAUACCCCGGACAUUUGCUGGUACAUCAUCGCAAGAAGAUGAUGAGGCGGAAGCAUCAGCUGCACCUGUACCGUUUGAUUUGGAUUCAGCAAAACGGCUACUAAAUGGAUUGCUGGACUAUUUUAAUGACCUUGGAGCAUUAGCAGGAGAUUACGAAACAAUUAAAGCCGGUGAGUAGGUACUAACUUCGGAGAAUAAUGAUAUUAGGUACUUGGAUUUCAUAAGAAUAAGUAAGUAUGUGUUAUAUGUAUAUGAUAUGUGAAUCGGACCCGGAUGAAAUUUUGAAAAUAUCCUUAAAUGU